rnacentral:rRNA from 1 species
AUUGAACGCUGGCGGCAGGCUUAACACAUGCAAGUCGAGCGGAGUGAUGGUGCUUGCACUAUCACUUAGCGGCGGACGGGUGAGUAAUGCUUAGGAAUCUGCCUAUUAGUGGGGGACAACAUCUCGAAAGGGAUGCUAAUACCGCAUACGUCCUACGGGAGAAAGCAGGGGAUCACUUGUGACCUUGCGCUAAUAGAUGAGCCUAAGUCGGAUUAGCUAGUUGGUGGGGUAAAGGCCUACCAAGGCGACGAUCUGUAGCGGGUCUGAGAGGAUGAGCCGCCACACUGGGACUGAGCCACGGCCCAGACUCCUACGGGAGGCAGCAGUGGGGAAUAUUGGACAAUGGGGGGAACCCUGAUCCAGCCAUGCCGCGUGUGUGAAGAAGGCCUUAUGGUUGUAAAGCACUUUAAGCGAGGAGGAGGCUCUUUUGGUUAAUACCCAAGAUGAGUGGACGUUACUCGCAGAAUAAGCACCGGCUAACUCUGUGCCAGCCGCCGCAGUAA